AGUGAACGCUGGCGGCGUGCCUAAUACAUGCAAGUCGAACGGAGAUUAGGUAGCUUGCUAUUUACUCUUAGUUGCGCACUGGUGAGUAAUAUAUAGCUAACUUGCCCAUUACUAAGGGACAACAGUUGGAAACGACUGCUAAUACCUUAUACUCCGUAUCUAUAUAAGUAGAUACGGGAAAGUUUUUCGGUAAUGGAUAGGGCUAUAUCGUAUCAGCUAGUUGGUAAGGUAAUGGCUUACCAAGGCUAUGACGCGUAACUGGUCUGAGAGGAUGAUCAGGCACAAUGGAAAUGAGACACGGUCCAGACUACUACGGGAGGCAGCAGUAGGGAAUAUUGCGCAAUGGGGGAAACCCUGAAGCAGCAACGCCGCGUGGAGGAUGACACUUUUCGGAGCGUAAACUCCUUUUCUUGGGAAAGAAUUAUGACGGUACCCAAGGAAUAAGCACCGGCUAACUCCGUG
rnacentral:rRNA from 1 species